AACGAACGCUGGCGGCAGGCUUAACACAUGCAAGUCGAACGCCCCGCAAGGGGAGUGGCAGACGGGUGAGUAACGCGUGGGAACGUGCCCUUCGCUUCGGGAUAGCCUCGGGAAACUGGGAGUAAUACCGAAUACGCCGUAUUGGGAAAGAUUUAUCGGCGAAGGAUCGGCCCGCGUUGGAUUAGCUAGUUGGCGGUGUAAUGGACCACCAAGGCGACGAUCCAUAGCUGGUCUGAGAGGAUGAUCAGCCACACUGGGACUGAGACACGG
rnacentral:rRNA from 1 species